GAUGAACGCUGGCGGCGUGCCUAAUACAUGCAAGUCGAGCGAAUGGAUUAAGAGCUUGCUCUUAUGAAGUUAGCGGCGGACGGGUGAGUAACACGUGGGUAACCUGCCCAUAAGACUGGGAUAACUCCGGGAAACCGGGGCUAAUACCGGAUAAUAUUUUGAACUGCAUGGUUCAAAAUUGAAAGGCGGCUUCGGCUGUCACUUAUGGAUGGACCCGCGUCGCAUUAGCUAGUUGGUGAGGUAACGGCUCACCAAGGCAACGAUGCGUAGCCGACCUGGGAGGGUGAUCGGCCACACUGGGACUGGGACACGGCCCAGACUCCUACGGGAGGCAGCAGUAGGGAAUCUUCCGCAAUGGACGAAAGUCGGACGGAGCAACGCCGCGUGAGUGAUGAAGGCUUUCGGGUCGUAAAACUCUGUUGUUAGGGAAGAACAAGUGCUAGUUGAAUAAGCUGGCACCUUGACGGUACCUAACCAGAAAGCCACGGCUAACUACGUGCCAGCAGCCGCCGUAA
rnacentral:rRNA from 1 species